rnacentral:rRNA from 1 species
UCCUACGGGGGGCUGCAGUGGGGAAUAUUGGGCAAUGGGGGAAACCCUGACCCAGCAACGCCGCGUGAAGGACGAAGGCCUUCGGGUUGUAAACUCCUUUGAUCAGGGACGAAAGCAAUGACGGUACCUGAAGAACAAGCCACGGCUAACUACGUGCCAGCAGCCGCGGUAAUACGUAGGUGGCGAGCGUUAUCCGGAUUUACUGGGUGUAAAGGGCGUGUAGGCGGGUUUGCAAGUCGGGUGUGAAAGAUUGGGGCUGAACCCGGAGAGGUCAUCAGAAACUGCAGAUCUUGAGUGCUGGAGAGGAUAGUGGAAUUCCUGGUGUAGCGGUAAAAUGCGUAGAGAUCAGGAGGAACACCAGUGGCGAAGGCGGCUAUCUGGACAGUAACUGACGCUGAGGCGCGAAAGCGUGGGGAGCAAACAGGAUUAGAUACCCGAGUAGUCA